rnacentral:rRNA from 1 species
GACGAACGCUGGCGGCGUGCUUAACACAUGCAAGUCGAACGGAAAGGCCCUGCUGUUUUCUGGUUCUCUGAUGGCUAGCGGGUGGGUGGCAAGUGUGUGGCAUGCCCCUGACUUGGGGAGAACUUCUGGUAACUAGGGCUACUACCACCUCGUAACUCCUGCUGCACGGUGGGGGGUGGCAUGUUUCGGCGUUCCGGGAUGGGCUCCCGGCUUGGCAGCGUGUUGGGGGGGUAGUGGAUUACCCCUGCUUUGACGGGUAGCCGGGCUGAGAGGGUGACCGGACACGUUGGGACUGAGAAACGGCCCAGACUGCUACGGGAGGCAGCAGUGGGGAAUAUUGCACAAUGGGCGGAAGCCUGAUGCAGCAACGCCGCGUGCGGGAUGACGGCCUUCGGGUUGUAAACCGCUUUCGCCUGUGACGAAGCGUGAGUGACGGUAAUGGGUAAAGAAGCACCGGCUAACUACGUG